rnacentral:rRNA from 1 species
GACGAACGCUGGCGGCGGGCUUAACACAUGCAAGUCGAACGGAAAGGCCCUGCUUUUGUGGGGUGCUCGAGUGGCGAACGGGUGAGUAACACGUGAGUAACCUGCCCUUGACUUUGGGAUAACUUCAGGAAACUGGGGCUAAUACCGUAUAGGAGCUCCUGCUGCAUGGUGGGGGUUGGAAAGUUUCGGCGGUUGGGGAUGGACUCGCGGCUUAUCAGCUUGUUGGUUGGGGAGUGGCUUACCAAGGCUUUGACGGGUAGCCGGCCUGGGAGGGUGACCGGCCACAUUGGGACUGCGAGACGGACCAGACUCCUACGGGAGGCAGCAGUGGGGAAUAUUACACAAUGGGCGGAAGCCUGAUGCAGAAACGCCGCGUGCGGGAUGACGGCCUUCGGGUUGUAAACCGCUUUCGCCUGUGACGAAGCGUGAGUGACGGUAAUGGGUAAAGAAGCACCGGCUAACUACGUG